rnacentral:rRNA from 1 species
UACGUAGGGGGCUAGCGUUGUCCGGAAUCAUUGGGCGUAAAGAGCGCGUAGGCGGCCAGAUAAGUCCGGGUGUGAAAGUCAAAGGCUCAACCUUUGAAUGCCGCUGGAAACUGUCUGGCUAGAGUCCGGAAGAGGAGAGUGGAAUUCCUGGUGUAGCGGUGAAAUGCGCAGAGUAUACAGGAAGAACACCCGUGGCUAAGGCGGCUCUCUAGUACGGUACUGACGCUGAGACGCGAAAGCGUGGGGAGCAAAC